rnacentral:misc_RNA from 1 species
GGUGGUGAUUGUCAAACGCGAGAUUGUCUUUACACCGAACUGUGCCGCAGGAUCGUAUCGUCGCGCUGUUUUCGCCAAAAGUGUCGUGUAAAAUCGUGCUGUUUCGGGUAAAUUCGGUCACGUCGUGUAGCGCUCGGUCGGCGCUUUCGUUUGCGCUAGCUUUCAGCGAUCGUCGCGCCGUGAAUCCUCGUGAAAAUCGUGAAAACAAACGUUGCCAAUUUCAAGCAGAGGCGACAUUGGAUCACCUCUUUUGUGUCGUCGUUGUCUCCGCAGUUCGUUUCUCUUUUUGGUGCGAUCUCUCACCGAUCUUUUCUUCCUCCUCUCUCUCUUUCUGGGCUCGGACCCAGUUUCUCCUCUCGCGCGUCACCGACCAAGCGUGUCCGCGUUUUCCAGUCUCGAAAAAGGAGGUGAGGAAUAACAACAACAACAACAACGGCAUCAACAACAAAAACAAGCAAAGUGGAGAGAGAAAACAGCGCCGAAUAAACACAAAAUACCGUCACAUACACAUGCACGUGCGUGUUUAAAAUCGCGGUGCAGUGCGGAACAAACAUAGCCUAAAACGAAAGAAAACAAAAUAAGCGUGUAUGUGAGAAAGGGGGAAAAGUUGAUGUUUUUAAUUCGCUAGUCACCGUGCAAGUGUGAGUGAAAGGUAAUAUAAUAAAUAAAAGAAGAAAAAAAAAAGUUCGUUGAAAAGAGAGUGCGAAGAAGUAAAGUGAAAGACGAAGAAGUCUGGCAAGCAGAAGAAAGGCAGCAAAACAAAAGGUGGCUAGUUUUGGUGCGCUGAGUUACUACUACCUUCUCCGUAUCAGUUGUAAAUGGUUAAAAAGAAAAGAAAAUAAAAGAAGUGAAAUUGUGUCUGUGUGCUAAUUAGUAUUGGCUGAGCGAUUUGCAAACCUGUACGACGUGUAUAUCUGUGAAACUAGCACCUGGAUAUUUAACGUGGAAUAGCAGCCAGACUGGUGGACAGCGAGCGAAAAGUUCUUCUCAUUGAAGAAGCUAGCUCAAGAUAAGGCGCCGAAUAGCGUGAGAGAGAGAUUCCGGGUCGGUCCGUUGGUAACCAAGUGUGUAACUCGGUGUGUGUGUGUGUGCGCUUUGUUCACGCGCACCAAUUAGUUGAACUUUACAGCGAAUUAACGUAAGACGACGGCCCCAAAUGCCCCACGCCGUCACGCGUCCCGGCCCCGCCACCCUGCUUCUGCUCUAGAUGACAAUGUCAGCAGGGAACGAGAAGCGAAUGCUCGACCGCGAAACGCUUCGUUCCGUUAUCCAGCAAUGGAACACGGUUCGGCUGGAUAUCUUUGCACUGUCGGAGCCCAACGAGAACUUGGAGUUCCAUGGGGUUAUGCGGUUCUACUUUCAAGAUGAAGGGCAAAAGGUAGCAACCAAAUGCAUCCGGGUGGCGUCUGACGCCACCGUGUCGGAUGUGAUAGAAACGCUAAUAGAAAAAUUCCGCCCGGACAUGCGGAUGCUUUCCCUGCCGAACUACGCGCUGUACGUGGUGCACGCGAACGGCGAGGAACGGAAGCUCAACCCGGAUGAAAAACCGCUGCUGGUGCAGCUCAACUGGCACAACGACGACCGCGAGGGACGCUUUUUGCUCAAAAACUGUGCCCAGAAAACCAACACUCUCGACAGCAUCACGGAUCAGCCGAGCUUCAAGCGGAAGCUGUCCAAGCGGGAGAAAAAAGAGCAGAAGAAAAAGGAGAAGCUGUCGAAGCUGGGCUCCGGUGGCGGAAACGAGAACCAUGUGGCCGAGAAGCUUUACACAGAACUGCCGGAAACGUCGUUCACGCGGUCCAUUUCCAACCCGGAAGCCGUGAUGCGACGACGGCGCCAGCAAAAGCUCGAGAAAAAGCUGCAGCAGUUCCGGUCGCGGGACGGCGGCCCGGACACCGGUGGAACGCUCAAGAUCUACGGCGAGAGUCUGUGCCGGGACGUGCCGUACAAAACGCUGCUGCUGUCGAUCCGGGACUGCGCCCAGGCCGUCGUACGCGAGAUGCUCGCCAAGUACGGCAUGGACAAGGUCGACCCGCUGCACUACUGUUUGGUUCAGGUGAACAGCGAUGGUUCCGAGUACAUCCUGGACGACGACGAGUGCCCGCUGUCGAUAUUGAUGAACCAUCCUACGUCGAGAGGAUCCAUAAUGUUCCACGUUCGCCGACGACCAGCAGAUUCCCAGCCGCGAAGGCGGAAGAAAAAGCCCCUCGGCGUGUCCAACGGGAGCGGGAAUCUGAGCGGCGAUCGGGAGGGCCCGAUGUUGAUCGAAAUCACCCACAGUGGCGAUGGGGGGCGCCGGGUCAAGCUGGGCAGCGAACCGAUCGAGGUGGGGUCGGCCAACACGAACGCACUGCAGCUGUUCGGGCCGUCCAUCCAGGCCCGGCACUGUUUGAUUUCGAUGCACGACGGCGUGUGCACCGUGACGCCCCUGCACGCGGACGGGACGACCUUCGUGAACGGGCACCACAUCCAGCAGCCGACGAUACUGCAUAACGGCUCGGUCGUGAUGUUUGGCCGGGUGGCGUCCUACCGCUUCGUGGACUCCCCCUCGGACGGGCGGUACAACCUGGCCCUGUCCCAGUCGCAGCUCGAUUCGGCCUGUCUGUAUGAAAGUCGUUCGCCAACGUCCCCAACGUCCUGGAACGAGGAGGAGAGCCGCCCGAUAAGUCCGGUAAGUUCGGUCCAACCUGCGCCGAGUCAAAAACUGGGCGGCAGUUUUUUGGAUUCAACCGACGGCUCCAAACUGCAACUGGACCAACAGCAAAUCACGAAGCCACCUUCGUUCGAAAUUCCAAACAACGCGUCGCAACCUCCGACACCGGCCAUGGCCAACCCGGGAGGACCACCCGCCCUCCCGCCGCACAACAUCCACCAGACGCAGAACCUGCUGAUGACCAGCCUGGACGUGGUCGACGUGGCAGCCACCGCCGGCGGAGUGGCCUUGAACGAUGACGCCAAGAGUCAGGUCGCCGGCACCGAGUUCAGCAACGACGGUGACGUCGGAAACAUCGAAACGGAAACCAAGUCGAUAUCGAGCCUGAAAUCGAUCGGAUCGGCCCAGGACAGGACCAGUACAUUCCCCAAGCUGCAGCCGUCGCACGCGGCCGCCUCCAUCUCGAGCGAACCCGGCGGCCAGGAGCCGAUCCUGCCGGCGGUGCUCGAGUUUCCCGAGCAGCACCAGGAGUCGUUUCUGCAGGCCGUCAUCAGUGAACUAGACGUCAAUUCACCUAACUUUAAGCUAGCCCCAGUGUACACGCUUUACCUGUGCGCCCGAUACCGCGCCUCCACCCACUACCGUCCCGACCUGCAGCCAACCGAACGUGCCCACAAGUUAACAGUAUUCCUUCAUCACGUUGCCAACCUGAUCCAGAACGUCGUUCAGGAGCAGUACACCGAUGCCAAAAUUCUGUCCUUUUGGAUGGCCAACAGUUCCGAGUUUUUGCACUUCCUCAAGUCCGACCGACACAUCUCGGCGUUCAGCGUCCAGGCCCAGGAGGUGCUGGCCGAAAGCGUCCAGACGGCGUUCCGCAACCUGGUGUCGAUCUUCCACGUGGAGCUGUCGCAGACGCUGAACCAGUUUCUGUCGGAGAACAUCGACCACGACUCGGCCGCCGGGCUGGUGCUGUCCGUGCUGGGCUCGGCAAUGGCGCUGCUUCGGAGGUGCCGCGUCAAUGCGGCGCUCACGAUUCAGCUGUUCUCGCAGCUGUUUCACUACAUCAACGUCGUUUGCUUCAACAAGUUCGUCACGACAUCACACAUGUGCACCAGUGCGUGGGGCCGGGCACUAACCGAACGCCUCUCCCUGCUGGAAUUGUGGGCCGAAAAGCAGGGCCUCGAGCUGGCCGCCGAUUGCCACCUGGCCAAGAUCAACCAGUGCGCGCAGUUUCUGCAGGCGCCCAAAACAUCGGUGACCGAGGUGCAGCAGCUGGCCUGCUCGUGCUUCCGGCUCAACUCGCUGCAAAUGGGCGCUCUGCUGUCGCAGGAGACCAUCCCGCGGAAUCUGAUCGACACCGCCGUCCGGAUGGCGGAAUCCGUGGCGGACGAGCUGAGCAGGGCCGACGGACGGGAGAUUCGGUUAGAGGAAUCGCCGGAGUUGCCGUUGGCGCUGCUACUGCCGGACGAUGGCUUCAGCUGUGACGUGGUGCGGGGCAUUCCCGCCGGAUUGGUGGACUUUUUGAGUCCGUUCCAGAUGGCCAACAUGUGCCGGCUGGCGUCGCAACCUACGAGCAUUGGGCUGUGGACGGUUUACAUGCAUCAGUUUAACCAGGGUCGCUCACCGAGCGUCAUGUCCAGUAAGUUGCCCCAGCCGGAGAUUCAGCUUAUCAAGCUGCACAAAAACGCCAACGGAAUGGGUCUGUCGAUCGUGGCCGCGAAAGGUGCUGGCCAGGAGCGGUUGGGAAUCUACAUCAAGUCGGUGGUGACGGGUGGAGCGGCUGACCUUGACGGUCGGUUGCAGGCCGGCGAUCAAUUGCUGGAGGUUGACGGUCAAAGUUUGAUCGGAAUCACCCAGGAACGGGCGGCGGAUCAUCUCGUGCGAACGGGGCCCGUAGUGACCCUGAAGGUGGCCAAACAGGGUGCCAUCUACCAUGGGUUGGCCACCCUGCUGCAGCAGCCAAGUCCGGUUAUCCAGCGCGAAAUAGAAAAUGAGUUCAACUGCAAUGUGUACGACAACGAUGGCAACCAGCGGUACCACUUUGGCCGGUCGAACGAAAGUCUCAACUUUCACGGCAGCUCGCGGUCCAUGUCCCGGCGGGGCUCGUUGCGCCAACCGCUGACGCCGGUCAUGACGCACACUACCUCGACGCCGUACCUCUCGUAUCACGACGCGUACCGCCGGAUGUCCAACCCGGACAUCAGUCAGGGCCGUCGGUUCAGCGUGUCCCUGUCCAAUGACGACAUUCUGUCCAACGACCAGCUGCAGCAAAUUCACUUUGACCCGCGCUAUCGGGACUGCCGGUCAACGGUCAGUUUGAACAGCAGUUUUUACAAUCGCACCAGAAGCAAUAGUUUGGGUAGCAUCGGAAGGGGACUGGCGGCCGCCUGUAGCACCGGAAUCCCAACGAUGCCGUGCAUUCCUCCUCCCAUCACACUCAGCAAACCCACCCGUUACGACACGCCACCCUCGAUCUACGUCGAGGAUUACGACUCCAGGGGGAGCAGCCACAACAGCAGUCGGGAGAUGAUCAAGAUCGAGGAAAGUGUCGAACCGGAACCGGAAUCGCCGGUGGUUGCGCACGUGCCCGUGUUUGAGGUCCGGAUCGAAGGACCCUCGACCGAGUCCAACCUGUCGUUCGUGGCGGACGUGAAUCUGGACGACAUUCCGUUCAUCGACGACGAUGACGACGAGGAAAGGGAAACUCGUUUCUACACCACCCGCAGUAGCGAAGAGGACCUGCGACCUUCUGCACCACCACCACCGGUGCCCCCACCGUAUGUGGCCGCCCCACCACCACCGCCCGCACCCACGCCGGUGUCAAAUUCGGCAACCCUUGGCAACAUUGCCAGCAUCAUGAUAAACCCGGGCAGCCGGCGGGGCAGCAACUCGUCCUGCCGUAAGACAGUCAGUUUCGACAUCAUCACCGACAAUGGCAACGCUCGUUCUGGAAGUCAACAGGACAUCAACGGCGGCACGACGACCUACGAGGAUGACAACUAUUCCAGUCAUUAUCACCAUCAUUACCAGGAUGCCAACGGCGGCACCAACGAUGGCGAGGCCGACGACGACGAAGGUGUCCUCGGGGAUGAGGACGAGGACGACGAGUUGUCGGGCACGGCUUCGUUCCGGAGUCGGCUCGCCAGGGGGACCAAAAAAUCACCAAGUGAACCUAUAUUCAAAUUUUGUAAAGUCAAACCCAGUGCCAGCAGUAGCAAUAGCAACAUCAGUUUCAGUAAUAAGAACAUCAACAACAAGUAUAGCAAUAGCAGCGCGACGCGUGGUAACAAUAACAAUAAUGAUAGUAAUAACGACAGCGAGGAGGAGGAGUACGACGAUUCGGAGGAGGAGGAGGAGGACAUUGACGACGCUGUCCGGCAGAGCCACGUGGAGGCCAUUAGGGAGUACGUGUGUAGUAAUUUUGUAACGUCGUCGUCGCCGCAGGAUUGGCCUAGAACGAGGGCCAGGCGGAGGAUGUCGCAAUCGAACAAUAACUACAACACCAACAGUGUGGCAAACGGUGACGACGACCACUGUAAAUUGCUGCGGAACAUUCGAUUGCUCAAGGAGUCAUCCGGCGCUAAUCAUCCUCACAGCGUUAACAGUAGUAGAAGUCCGCUGAAAGGUAACCUGCUCGUCGCCGGAAACGAAAGCUGUUUCAUAACUGAUGUUUAAGGCGAGGAUGCGAUGCGAUUCGGAAACCAAAAAAAACACCAACAUAACGUAUACAAGUCUCAUACCAGAAUUCUUUUGUUGUUUUUUCAAAGUGGCAGACGAAUGUCCGAACGAGACAUGACACGCGUAGGCACCAGCAACGACCCCACCAAACCACCCGUACCCUCAACCUCCGGACAGCAGUUGCUCAACAGCAAGUCGGUUCCCGCGCUGCACCACGUCGGCGGGGGC